CUCCAGACUCCUACGGGAGGCAGCAGUGGGGGAUAUUGCACAAUGGGGGAAACCCUGAUGCAGCGACGCCGCGUGGGCGAAGAAGUAUUUCGGUAUGUAAAGCCCUAUUAGCAGGGAAGAAGAAAUGACGGUACCUGAGUAAGAAGCACCGGCUAAAUACGUGCCAGCAGCCGCGGUAAUACGUAUGGUGCAAGCGUUAUCCGGAUUUACUGGGUGUAAAGGGAGCGCAGGCGGCGCGCCAAGUCUGAUGUGAAACCCCGGGGCUCAACCCCGGGCAUGCAUUGGAAACUGGCGGGCUGGAGUGCCGGAGAGGUAAGCGGAAUUCCUAGUGUAGCGGUGAAAUGCGUAGAUAUUAGGAGGAACAUCAGUGGCGAAGGCGGCUUACUGGACGAUGACUGACGCUGAGGCUCGAAAGCGUGGGGAGCAAACAGGAUUAGAUACCCGCGUAC
rnacentral:rRNA from 1 species